rnacentral:rRNA from 1 species
UACGUAGGGGGCGAGCGUUGUCCGAAGUUACUGGGCGUAAAGCGCGCGUAGGCGGUCCUUUAAGUCUGAGGUGAAAGGUUCAGCGCUCAACGUGAACAGUGCCUUGGAGACUGGGGGACUUGAGUGUGGGAGAGGGCAGUGGAAUUCCUGGUGUAGCGGUGAAAUGCGUAGAUAUCAGGAGGAACACCGAUGGCGAAGGCAGCUGCCUGGCCUAACACGUGACGCU